rnacentral:tRNA from 1 species
GAGGGUAUAGCUCAGUGGUAGAGCAUGUACUUAGCGUGCGCCAGGUCCUGGGUUCAAUCCCCAGCACCACCA